rnacentral:rRNA from 1 species
CACGAAGGGGGCUAGCGUUGCUCGGAAUCACUGGGCGUAAAGGGUGCGUAGGCGGGGCUUUAAGUCAGGGGUGAAAUCCUGGAGCUCAACUCCAGAACUGCCUUUGAUACUGAGGAUCUUGAGUUCGGGAGAGGUGAGUGGAACUGCGAGUGUAGAGGUGAAAUUCGUAGAUAUUCGCAAGAACACCAGUGGCGAAGGCGGCUCACUGGCCCGAUACUGACGCUGAGGCACGAAAGCGUGGGGAGCAAACAGG